CAAGCAACGAAGGUCGAGACGUCGUCGUAUAGAACCAUGGCGUACGACUAUCUUUUCAAGUACAUUAUCAUCGGUGAUACUGGCGUGCGAAAAUCGUGUUUGCUAUUGCAGUUUACGGACAAGAGAUUCCAGCCGGUACAUGAUCUAACCAUCGGUGUUGAAUUCGGUGCUCGGAUCGUCUCCAUUGAUGACAGACCCAUCAAGCUUCAAAUCUGGGAUACGGCUGGGCAAGAAUCCUUCAGAUCCAUCACCAGAUCUUACUAGAGAGUAGCUGCAGGAGCCCUUAUGGUCUAUGAUAUAACCAGACACGAGUUAACUUUUGAAACUGAACUGCAAAGUUAUACGGUUGGAUCGGGAGAGAGACGUUUAAUCAUCUGAUGAGCUGGUUGGAGGAUGCUCGACAGCAUGGGAAUCCAAACAUGGCGGUCAUGGUGAUCGGAAACAAGUGUGAUCUUUCUCAACGGAGAGCAAUUAGCAAAGAAGACGGUGAGAAGUUUGCAAAGGAAAAUGGGCUUUUAUUAUUGGAAACAUCUGCAAGGACAUCUCAAAAUGCCGAGGCCUUCAUCAUUACUGCUGCAAAGAUACUUUAGAACAUUAAAGAAGGGAUCUUUGACGUUUCCGAUGAGGAAAUGAUCGAAACCGCUUUAAUUAAAGGAUCUCAAGAGUUAUGUUUUUCCGAUCAUCCAGAAAUAGGCUACAGUCAUCUGGCAUCAAGAUUGGCCUAGGACGUGGACAAGGUAUAACCGGUGCAAGAGACGGAAACCCUGGUCGGAGAGGUAUCUGUUGCAGUCAGUAGGCAAAAUAAUACGUGCCUGUAUUUGAUCCUUUAAUCCAAUUCAUUUCUCAUCACAUUGCUUUGAUUCAUAUAUUCUUAAAGGCGAUGUUCCAUUAGCAAGAACAUGGAACGUAUAGGACUAGUUAUUAUCAUUUUUUCUUUGUACCAAACUCGGAAAUCA